rnacentral:tRNA from 2 species
GCGGGCGUGGCGAAAUUGGUAGACGCGCCAGAUUUAGGUUCUGGUAGGGCAACCUGUGGGGGUUCGAGUCCCUUCGCCCGCACCA